rnacentral:lncRNA from 10 species
CUGGAAUCAGCUGGCCACUUCGGCCCCAGCAGGAGCUAACUCCACUCACUCGGACCCGCUGCACUCCACCUCUCAUGGGAGGAAACGCACAGAAAACUUUCCAGACAGGGACAGAGCAAGGUGGUGGAAUAGAAGGCUCCACUGAUCAUCUCCUCUGCAAGGACACCAAGUUAACAACUAUCUAUACAGAAUAGAUUUUGGUUCAUUAAGAACUAAAAAUCAGCUGAAUUCUUUCUUCCAAGAAGAAUCAAGGACCAAGGAUCCCAUUUGAAUUCUCCACUGGUAUCAGGACUCCUGCAACAGAAGACAGAUUAACAGCAGAAAAGCAAACAUAAGUUUAAUAACAGGUACAGCUCCUGAAUAUGUCACACGCAUCCACGUGAAAAGACCACCAAACAGGCUUUGUGUGAGCAAUAAAGCUUUUACUCACCUGGGUGCAGGCAGGCUGAGUCCAAAAAAGGAGUCAGCUAAGGGAGAUAGGGGUGAGACAGUUUUAUAGGAUUUGGGCAGGUAGCGGAAAAUUGCAGUCAAAGGGGGUUGUUCUCUGGCAGCCAGGGGCGGGGGUCACAAGGUGCUCCAAUGGGGAGCUUCUGAGAAUCAUUGUCCAGGAGAAGGAAUUUCACAAGGUAAUGUCAUCAGUUAAGGCAGGAACCAGCCAUUUUCACUUCUUUUGUGGUUCUUCAGUUGCCUCAGGCCAUCUGGAUGUAUACAUGCAGGCUUGGGCUCAGAGGACUGACAGUAUACAUGAGAGAGAACUCAGAGAAAUCAGUAAACCUCUAAAGUUGUCAAAAAGUUUGACAACUCAAACAAAAAGUUUGAGAUCGCUAAAGAUCUCAAAAAGUUGUCCUCAGACUUCAGGCUUAAAUAUAAUCAUUCUCAAAAUCAAAGAAAGAGGGGCGUGGGGACAGGCCCUUUAACUGUAAAACAAGGAUAAGGUCUGUUAUGCAGAUUUAAGUAUAUACCCCUUCUUUUAACUAAAGUCUCUAGUGAUUUAGUUGGUCUUCUCUUCCUGGUACAAAGUGGGAAACACUUUUUACAAAAGGAGAUCUCUUUAUAGAUGUAAAUUUUUCUUAUAAAUGGAUAAACUUUCAGAGGUGCUUCUGUGUCUGAGGUGCCAUAGAGGUGAAUUGGGGGUGCAUAUACUGGUCUCUUACAGUCAUAUGUGGAGAAACAUUUUCUGAACCCCAUCAGUAGCAAUACAGCCUAUGUCCUUAUGACCCUUGUAAAGUGACUAUUCAGAAUCUAACAAAGGUUGAUGGAAUGAGCAUCUGACCAAUGUAAAUCAAAGAAAAUUACUGCAGCGAGUCUCAGUCAUGUUAGAGGUUUAUUUGCCAAGGUUAAGGAUGAGCACAGGAUAACAGGAACACAGACCACAGAAAACAUCUGUGUUUUCUGGUACUUUAAUAUUUAAAGGAAAAAAGUGGGUAUUAAGGGAAAGAGGGAAAAAAAAGGAGAGUAGAUAAAAGAGGCAAGUGGUUGCAUUUCUUUGAGUCUGCUCAGUCUUUGCUGAAUCCACAUUUUACAUGUGAAAGAGAGUAGAGGAAUAGUCACUUAUGUAAUUGUCUCUUGCUCAGGGAAUCUGCAUUUUUAUGUAAGAUAAAAUAAAUAUAGGGUAGAGGAAGCAGUUAGAUAUGCAUUUGUCUCAGGUGAGUGGAGGAAUGACUUAGUUCUGUCCUCUGCCCCAUAACUAUGAAGAUAAGUUGUCAAUUUACAUUGUCAGAGUGAAAUUUAACAGAACAAUUUUAGGGGAAAGAUCUUGGGGGCCUACAAGGAAUUUCCUUGUGAGCAAAUUGUGAGGGAAGUAUGUAGCUUUUUUAUCUUUGUAGCUAUUUUAUUAGGAACAAAACUGGAUGCAGGUUUGGGUGACCCAGUUCCCAGCUUGACUUUUCCCUUUGGCUUAGGGAAUCUGGGGUACUGAGAUUUAUUUUCCUUUCACAUCACCCAGGCCUUAUUUGAUCUCAGGUCUUCCCAUUUUGCCUCACCUCCAGUGCUCUCUUAGAACAGAAUACCUUCCCAGCAAGGAUAUCACACUCCUAACUUUUAAUCUAUUGCCUUCAUUUGCAGACUGUUCAAUCAUUGUUUUCCCCCUCCCAUUCUGUUGCAAC